rnacentral:rRNA from 7 species
UUAAGCGACUAAGCGUACACGGUGGAUGCCCUGGCAGUCAGAGGCGAUGAAGGACGUGCUAAUCUGCGAAAAGCGCCGGCGAGGUGAUAUGAACCUUUGACCCGGCGAUGUCCGAAUGGGGAAACCCAGUGCAAUCCGUUGCACUAUCGUUAACUGAAUACAUAGGUUAACGAGGCGAACCGGGGGAACUGAAACAUCUAAGUACCCCGAGGAAAAGAAAUCAACCGAGAUUCCCCCAGUAGCGGCGAGCGAACGGGGAGCAGCCCGGAGUCUGAAUCAGCUUGUGUGUUAGUGGAACGGUCUGGAAAGUCCGACGGUACAGGGUGAUAGUCCCGUACACGAAAGCACACAUGCUGUGAACUCGAAGAGUAGGGCGGGACACGUGGUAUCCUGUCUGAAUAUGGGGGGACCAUCCUCCAAGGCUAAAUACUCCUGACUGACCGAUAGUGAACCAGUACCGUGAGGGAAAGGCGAAAAGAACCCCGGCGAGGGGAGUGAAAAAGAACCUGAAACCGUGUACGUACAAGCAGUGGGAGCCUCUUUAUGGGGUGACUGCGUACCUUUUGUAUAAUGGGUCAGCGACUUAUAUUCUGUAGCAAGGUUAACCGUAUAGGGGAGCCGAAGGGAAACCGAGUCUUAACUGGGCGUUAAGUUGCAGGGUAUAGACCCGAAACCCGGUGAUCUAGCCAUGGGCAGGUUGAAGGUUGGGUAACACUAACUGGAGGACCGAACCGACUAAUGUUGAAAAAUUAGCGGAUGACCUGUGGCUGGGGGUGAAAGGCCAAUCAAACCGGGAGAUAGCUGGUUCUCCCCGAAAGCUAUUUAGGUAGCGCCUCGUGAACUCAUCUUCGGGGGUAGAGCACUGUUUCGGCUAGGGGGCCAUCCCGGCUUACCAACCCGAUGCAAACUACGAAUACCGAAGAAUGUUAUCACGGGAGACACACGGCGGGUGCUAACGUCCGUCGUGAAGAGGGAAACAACCCAGACCGCCAGCUAAGGUCCCAAAGUCAUGGUUAAGUGGGAAACGAUGUGGGAAGGCACAGACAGCCAGGAUGUUGGCUUAGAAGCAGCCAUCAUUUAAAGAAAGCGUAAUAGCUCACUGGUCGAGUCGGCCUGCGCGGAAGAUGUAACGGGGCUAAACCAUGCACCGAAGCUGCGGCAGCGACGCUUAGGCGUUGUUGGGUAGGGGAGCGUUCUGUAAGCCGUUGAAGGUGUGCUGUGAGGCAUGCUGGAGGUAUCAGAAGUGCGAAUGCUGACAUAAGUAACGAUAAAGCGGGUGAAAAGCCCGCUCGCCGGAAGACCAAGGGUUCCUGUCCAACGUUAAUCGGGGCAGGGUGAGUCGACCCCUAAGGCGAGGCCGAAAGGCGUAGUCGAUGGGAAACAGGUUAAUAUUCCUGUACUUGGUGUUACUGCGAAGGGGGGACGGAGAAGGCUAUGUCAGCCGGGCGACGGUUGUCCCGGUUUAAGCAUGUAGGCGGAGGUUCCAGGUAAAUCCGGUACCUUAUUAACGCUGAGGUGUGAUGACGAGGCACUACGGUGCUGAAGUGAUAAAUGCCCUGCUUCCAGGAAAAGCCUCUAAGCAUCAGGUAACACGAAAUCGUACCCCAAACCGACACAGGUGGUCAGGUAGAGAAUACCAAGGCGCUUGAGAGAACUCGGGUGAAGGAACUAGGCAAAAUGGUGCCGUAACUUCGGGAGAAGGCACGCUGAUAUGUAGGUGAAGUCCCUGCGGACGGAGCUGAAAUCAGUCGAAGAUACCAGCUGGCUGCAACUGUUUAUUAAAAACACAGCACUGUGCAAACACGAAAGUGGACGUAUACGGUGUGACGCCUGCCCGGUGCCGGAAGGUUAAUUGAUGGGGUUAGCGGCAACGCGAAGCUCUUGAUCGAAGCCCCGGUAAACGGCGGCCGUAACUAUAACGGUCCUAAGGUAGCGAAAUUCCUUGUCGGGUAAGUUCCGACCUGCACGAAUGGCGUAAUGAUGGCCAGGCUGUCUCCACCCGAGACUCAGUGAAAUUGAACUCGCUGUGAAGAUGCAGUGUACCCGCGGCAAGACGGAAAGACCCCGUGAACCUUUACUAUAGCUUGACACUGAACACUGGUCCUUGAUGUGUAGGAUAGGUGGGAGGCUUUGAAGCGUGGACGCCAGUCUGCGUGGAGCCAACCUUGAAAUACCACCCUUUAAUGGCUGGUGUUCUAACGUAGACCCGUAAUCCGGGUUGCGGACAGUGUCUGGUGGGUAGUUUGACUGGGGCGGUCUCCUCCCAAAGAGUAACGGAGGAGCACGAAGGUUGGCUAAUCCUGGUCGGACAUCAGGAGGUUAGUGCAAUGGCAUAAGCCAGCUUGACUGCGAGCGUGACGGCGCGAGCAGGUGCGAAAGCAGGUCAUAGUGAUCCGGUGGUUCUGAAUGGAAGGGCCAUCGCUCAACGGAUAAAAGGUACUCCGGGGAUAACAGGCUGAUACCGCCCAAGAGUUCAUAUCGACGGCGGUGUUUGGCACCUCGAUGUCGGCUCAUCACAUCCUGGGGCUGAAGUAGGUCCCAAGGGUAUGGCUGUUCGCCAUUUAAAGUGGUACGCGAGCUGGGUUUAGAACGUCGUGAGACAGUUCGGUCCCUAUCUGCCGUGGGCGCUGGAGAAUUGAGGGGGGCUGCUCCUAGUACGAGAGGACCGGAGUGGACGCAUCACUGGUGUUCGGGUUGUCAUGCCAAUGGCACUGCCCGGUAGCUAAAUGCGGAAGAGAUAAGUGCUGAAAGCAUCUAAGCACGAAACUUGCCCCGAGAUGAGUUCUCCCUGAGACCUUGAGUCUCCUGAAGGAACGUUGAAGACGACGACGUUGAUAGGUCGGGUGUGUAAGCGCAGCGAUGCGUUGAGCUAACCGAUACUAAUGAACCGUGAGGCUUAACCUU